CUUUUCCCGCACCGGUGGCCGGACUCUGCAUGAGUCACCGCCUGCCUGCAAGCCCAGAGCUCGCCGCACCCCCCUGCCUCUCCGCACCGUCCCACAGGCUGUGACCCUCCACCCAGCCAUAGACGGUUCUGCUCUUGGCACAAAGGAGGGCUUCUUAGCCGGGAAUAUGGCUGCCCGGGAGGGGCGACUUCUGUGCUUGUUUUUCCUUCCUGGCACUGAAAACAAGCACAUCCACCCAACAAAUAAAGACGCGGUCAAUGAAAGCAGCUGUGUUUCAAGGGGAGACAGGGAGCAAGCCAAGGAAUAAAUGAAAAGACCCAGUGACAAAAUGCCCAUUCAUCGGGUUCACUCGGCAAACAUUUACUGAAGCAUCUGUGUGCCAGGCACUGUCCUGAGUGCUGGGAAGACACAAAGAUGCCCUUCAGAACGAUGACCCCCGCCUCGCCCUCCGCUGGAACCGGGAGGCAGACACACACAUAAAUACGACACAGUCAACCGUCCCCAGUUCACAGCAUCUAAAGGAGCUAGGAAUGCAUGGGAUGCUUAUGGAAUGUGCGAGAACACGGAGACAAAGUCUCACUGUGUUCCCAGGCUGAUCCCCAACUCCUGAGCUCAAGCCAGCCACCAGCCUUGGCCUCCCAAAGUGCUGGGAUUACAGGCGUGAGCCACCACGCCGGGCCCAGAUGAACAGAGAAAAGAGGAAGGUAUGGAAAAGAGUGAAAUUGGCAUAAAAAAUCCAAUAAAGGGCAACGAGCAGGAAACAACAAAAACAUGGGAAACUGCCGACCUGAGGAAUCGCGCUCUUCUAACUUUACAGCUUCACCUGCCGUGUUUGCUCCUGGAGGACUGAGACUUUUGUCUGAUUCGUCUGCUGCUGUCUUCCCGAUGCCUAGAACACUGCCUGAUGCACGGGAAGUAUUUGUCAGAUACAUCCCAUGGCUUCUAAUGCCAUUUGCAAGGAUGAAAGCUGGGUGUGCCCGGCUGUACGGCAAUACUUCCAAAGGCCUGUAGGACUCCCCAGUGACUGUCCCAUUCACCAGGAGGAGGACUGCAGUCACCUGCAUUGUCCUGGGAAGGUCAGCCAGGCCUUUUCCCAAUGUCUGUCUGGGAAAAGCCCCGGUGUAGUCUGCUCGGUCCUACACCCAGAAUCACGGGGGCUUCAGGAGCAGGCAUUACGAGGCAAGGAGUAGCUUCUCCCCCUCACCUCCCACUCAGCAGAACGCACUAGCCCUGUGCUCUUCUGAUCCUGAAGGCAGCUGAGUCUGAAAAGUUCCUGUACCUUUAAAGGUACUAGAGGCAGUGUGGUGCCCACUCAGGAACUGCAUGAUUUAAAUAGGUUUCUAGGAUAAAGGCAACUCGUAGCACAAAGGAACAAGUCCCAGGGAGUGGCAUUCCAGAUCAUUUGAUUCCUGAGCGAAGGAAUUAUUAUGGUGUGGAGGUGGGGACCUCCUUACUACAUUCCAAAUUGCAAUAAGGUUGUAAGGGUUUUCUCUUCCAUUCUGAAGUACUUUGACAAUAGUUUUGAACUUCAAAAAUGUUUAUUAAAGGUGUUUUCACAGCAGUUUCAUAAUGUUUAAUUUGUUAAUUACUGGAAUUGAUGCUAAAUAAAACAGGCAAGUAAUACUUCAGAUGGCUUCAUCUUCAGAGUCUUCUUCAUGUGUGACUCAAAAUGCACAAUUUUGGCCGGGCACAGUGGCUCACGCCUGUAAUCCCAGCACUUUGGGAGGCUGAGACAGGCGGAUCACCUGAGGUCAGGAGUUUGAGACCAGUUUGGCCAACAUGGUGAAACCCCAUCUCUACUAAAAAUACAAAAAUUAGAUGGGCAUGGUGGUGUGUGCCUGUAAUCCCAGCUGCUUGGGAAGCUGAGGCAGGAGAAUUGAUUGAACCCAAGAGGCGGGGCUUGCAGUGAGCCGAGAUCCCGCUCCAGCCUGGGCAACAAGAGCGAGACUCCGUCUCAAAAAAAGAAAAAAAAAGCACAAUUUCAGGACAGCCUAAGCAAAUAAAAAAUGGGAAAUGGAAAUGGAUUCGAAGCAGGGAGGACGUUCCGCCCACUGUCACACCGAAGGAAUGGUGGAGGCUGUGAGUCCUCCGCCCACUGUCACACCGAAGGAUGGUGGAGGCUGUGAGUCCUCCUGUAAGCCGCCGCUGGAGAAGGGGCAGCUCUGGAACCUGACGACAUUCUCCUAUCUUGCAUGAGGUGGAGACAAAGAGUCCUUCUGCGCUGGGACAGGAUGAGGGCGAAGUGGUGACUUCAGGUCAGAAGCAGAGCCUUGGGGACCUCUGAUUCUCAAGGGCGAGCUCCCUCCAGAACCCCAAGAGAUGGCCCUGACUGCAUGGGAAAGCGUGUCUCACCAUUGCAAUGUUCUCUAAGUCUGGAGGAGGCGGAGCCCAGUGAGAAUGACAGGCAGACCGCAAGGAGGCCCGGAAGCCCCCCAUGGCGAGGAUGCAUCCAAGUGUAUUCUGUAGGAGUGACCAGUGGCCACGUGGGUAGUGGGCAGAGCUUGUUUUCCUCCAAUAUCAGCGUACAGAGCAGGGGAGCCUGGUGAAGGUUUCUCUCUGAAAUCAUGGAUUCAGCUGUAUUAGUUUCUAUCCAAGGCUGGCAUAGCUCACCUUCCACUCCAGCAAUGACCUCGGGCCAGCUGUCACGAGCCUUCUCACCACGAGGAUGGUCUGGGGUGGUGAGAUCUCACUGUUGGCCAUAAUUCAUUCAACAUUUCUUCACUUCUCUGCUUAAUUUUGGUCGAAUGUCAUGC
rnacentral:lncRNA from 1 species